rfam:Gasterosteus aculeatus cont1.000394, whole genome shotgun sequence.
CAAAAGGCUUCAUUAGAAGCCAAUAUGAAGAAAAAGAAUACAAUAU